UGGACAGAUUAUUGUAUUCGACUGUAUUCACGGCAUGAAACAGGGGAUUACAUUAUUUUUAAACGGAAAGUGAAUCAAUUAACAUAAUAGACUCCU
rfam:Nicotiana sylvestris Nsyl_contig17878, whole genome shotgun sequence.